UGUUAAUCAAGAAGAUAUUUAACAUUAACUAGUCAAUAGGUAAAUGUUAAAUAGAGUUACUUGUGUUACAAGUCGGUUUGAUUUAAAAGAAGAAGAAGAGAGAAAGGAGUAACGGUCAUAUUGACCAAAGAAGGAGGCGCGUUAAAGCGCCGAUCUUAUCCUCUUUGUCCUCUUCCCGUGUACGGCCUCGCGCCUCACUUUUGAGCUGUCAUGGGCUGUGUCACACACGGU
rnacentral:lncRNA from 1 species